rnacentral:rRNA from 1 species
CUGGCUCAGAAUGAACGCUAGCGAUAAGCUUAACACAUGCAAGUUGUACGUCUCUCAAUUCAUUGAGAGGAGUAGCGAACGGGUGAGUAACACGUAAGAAUCUGCCUCAUAAAUCAAGCAAAGGCUUUCUGAAUCUUGAAUAGGUUGCCUGAUUUUUUUUUGCUAAGAAAAAGGAUCAAGUCACUCAAAGUUGUAAAACGUUAUGAGAUGAGCUUGCGUAGGAUUAGGUAGUUGGUAGAGUAAAAGCCUACCAAGCCAAAGAUCCUUAGCUGGUCUGAGAGGAUGAUCGGCCACACUGGGACUGAGACACGGCCCAGACGCUUUCGAGCGGCAGCAGUGAGGAAUAUUGGACAAUGGGCGAAAGCCUGAUCCAGCUAGAUCGCGUGGGCGACGAAGACUGUUUUGGUUGUAAAGCCCUUUACUCAAACAGAGAUUAUGACAGAGUUUGAGAAAAAAGUCCCGGCCAAUCUCGUGCCAGCAGCCGCGGUAAUACGAGAGGGGCGAGCGUUAUUCGGAAUGAUUGGGCGUAAAGAGCACGUAGACUGUUUAGAUUAUCAAAGAGAAAAAAAAAUCAGAGCUUAACUUUGAAACUUGUCUUGUUUUCUCGUGAAAACUUUUCUUAAAAGUUUUCACGAGAAAACUUAUGGAUCAAAUUUUUAAAAUUUGGACCCGAUACCUAAACUAGAGUGAGUAAGAGGAGAAUGGAAUUCCUGGCGUAGAGGUAAAAUUUGUUGAUAUCAGGAGGAACACCAAAAGCGAAGGCAAUUCUCUGGGACUCCACUGACGUUGAGGUGCGAAAGCGUGGGGAGCAAAGGGGAUUAGAUACCCCCGUAGUCCACGCCGUCAACGAUGACCUUUCUAGAAACAUUUGUAUCUUCUGAAAGCUUGGUGACUAGAUUUUUCUAGUAAUUGCUGAUGUAAUCAGUCAUCAGGUGAAGGUUUAAACUUUUCUAUUAGCUAACGCGUUAAAUGGUCCGCCUGAGGAGUACGGUCGCAAGAUUAAAACUCAAAGGAAUAGACGGGGGCUCACACAAGUGGUGGAACAUGUGGUUUAAUUCGAAACAACGCGCAAAACCUUACCAGUCCUUGACAUAAUCUUUUCACAAUCU